rnacentral:rRNA from 1 species
AGCGCAGGCGGUUUGAUAAGUCUGAAGUUAAAGGCUGUGGCUCAACCAUAGUUCGCUUUGGAAACUGUCAAACUUGAGUGCAGAAGGGGAGAGUGGAAUUCCAUGUGUAGCGGUGAAAUUCGUAGAUAUUCGGAGGAACACCAGUGGCGAAGGCGGCUUACUGGUCCAUUACUGACGCUGAGGUGCGAAGGCGUGGGGAGCAAACA